rnacentral:rRNA from 1 species
GCCAGCAGCCGCGGUAAUACGUAUGUCACGAGCGUUAUCCGGAUUUAUUGGGCGUAAAGCGCGUCUAGGUGGUUAUGUAAGUCUGAUGUGAAAAUGCAGGGCUCAACUCUGUAUUGCGUUGGAAACUGUGUAACUAGAGUACUGGAGAGGUAAGCGGAACUACAAGUGUAGAGGUGAAAUUCGUAUAUAUUUGUAGGAAUGCCUAUGGGGAAGCCAGCUUACUGGACAUAUACUGACGCUAAAGCGCGAAAGCGUGGGUAGCAAACAGAUUAUAUACCCUGGUAGUCCACUCUGUAAACUGAUGAUUACUAUGUGUGGGGGGU